CACAUGCUGUAACCGCUCCGGACAGGUUCCAAGCAUGAGGCUGCGAGCAGCGUCAUCACCUGAUUCAGGCGAGUCUGAGACAUGAG
rfam:Paenibacillus dendritiformis C454 PDENDC1000023, whole genome shotgun sequence.